UACAGAGGGGGCAAGCGUUGUUCGGAAUUACUGGGCGUAAAGGGCGCGUAGGCGGCGCAUUUAGUCAGGCGUGAAAGCCCUGGGCUCAACCUGGGGACUGCGCUUGAGACGGGUGUGCUGAGAGGACGGAAGAGGGUCGCGGAAUUCCCAGUGUAGAGGUGAAAUUCGUAGAUAUUCGCAAGAACACCAGUGGCGAAGGCGGCUCACUGGCCCGAUACUGACGCUGACGGUGCGAAAGCGUGGGGAGCAAACAGGG
rnacentral:rRNA from 1 species